GACGAACGCUGGCGGCGUGCUUAACACAUGCAAGUCGAACGGAAAGGCCCUGCUUGCAGGGUGCUCGAGUGGCGAACGGGUGAGUAACACGUGGGUGAUCUGCCCCUUACUUUGGGAUAAGCCUGGGAAACUGGGUCUAAUACUGGAUAGGACCAUGCUGUAGGUGGUGUGGUGGAAAGAUUAGUUUCGGUAAGGGAUGAGCUCGCGGCCUAUCAGCUUGUUGGUGGGGUAAUGGCCUACCAAGGCGUCGACGGGUAGCCGGCCUGAGAGGGUGGACGGCCACAUUGGGACUGAGAUACGGCCCAGACUCCUACGGGAGGCAGCAGUGGGGAAUAUUGCACAAUGGGCGCAAGCCUGAUGCAGCGACGCCGCGUGGGGGAUGACGGCCUUCGGGUUGUAAACUCCUUUCAGCCAUGACGAAGCCCUUGUGGUGACGGUAGAGGUAGAAGAAGCACCGGCUAACUACGUG
rnacentral:rRNA from 1 species